rnacentral:rRNA from 1 species
CAAUAGCGUAUAUUUAAGUUGUUGCAGUUAAAAAGCUCGUAGUUGGAUUUCGGGUGGGACGCAGCGGUCUCGCAUUGCGUUUGUACUGCUGCAGCCCUCCUUCUUGCCGGGGGCGGCCUCUCGGACUUCACUGUCUGGGGGUCAGAAUCGGCGAUGUUACUUUGAGUAAAUUAGAGUGUUCAAAGCAAGCUUACGCUCUGAAUAUAAUAGCAUGGGAUAACACGACAGGACUCUGGCCUAUCGUGUUGGUCUAUAGGACCAGAGUAAUGAUUAAGAGGGACAGUCGGGGGCAUUCGUAUUCCGUUGUCAGAGGUGAAAUUCUUGGAUUUACGGAAGACGAACAUCUGCGAAAGCAUUUGCCGAGGAUGUUUUCAUUG